rnacentral:rRNA from 1 species
UAAUUGGAAUGAGUACAUUUAAACCNCUUAACGAGGACAACUUGAGGGCAAGUCUGGUGCCAGCAGCCGCGGUAAUUCCAGCUCCAAUAGCGUAUAUUAAAGUGUUGCNGUUUAAAAAGCUCGUAGUUGAAACUUGGGUCUGGCUGGCAGGUCCGCCUCACCGCGUGUACUUGUCCGGCCGGGCCUUCCUUCUGGAGAACCUCAUGCCCUUCACUGGGCGUGUUGGGGACCAGGACUUUUAACUUUGAAAAAAUUAGAAGUGUUCAAAGCUAGGCCUUUGCUCGAAUACGUUAGCAUGGAAUAAUAGAAUAGGACGUGCGGUCCUAUUUUGUUGGUUUCUAGGACCGCCGUAAUGAUUAAUAGGGACAGUCGGGGGCAUCAGUAUUCAAUUGUCAGAGGUGAAAUUCUUGGAUUUAUUGAAGACUAACUACUGCGAAAGCAUUUGCCAAGGAUGUUUUCAUUAAUCAGUGAACGAAAGUUAGGGGAUCGAAGACGAUCAGAUACCGUCGUAGUUUUAACCGUAAACUAUGCCGUCGACGCGGCCG